UACGUAGGGUCCGAGCGUUGUUCGGAAUACUGGGCGUAAAGGGCUCGUAGGCGGCCAACUAAGUCGGAUGUGAAAUCCCCAGGCUUAACCUGGGAACUGCAUCCGAUACUGGAUGGCUUGAAUCCGGGAGAGGGAUGCAGAAUUCCAGGUGUAGCGGUGAAAUGCGUAGAUAUCUGGAGGAAUACCGGUGGCGAAGGCGGCAUCCUGGACCGGCAUUGACGCUGAUGAGCGAAAGCUAGGGGAGCAAACGGG
rnacentral:rRNA from 1 species